rnacentral:rRNA from 1 species
UAGGGAAUCUUCGGCAAUGGACGGAAGUCUGACCGAGCAACGCCGCGUGAGUGAAGAAGGUUUUCGGAUCGUAAAGCUCUGUUGUUAGAGAAGAACGUUGGUAGGAGUGGAAAAUCUACCAAGUGACGGUAACUAACCAGAAAGGGACGGCUAACUACGUGCCAACAGCCGCGGUAAUACGUAGGUCCCGAGCGUUGUCCGGAUUUAUUGGGCGUAAAGCGAGCGCAGGCGGUUCUUUAUGUCUGAAGUUAAAGGCAGUGGCUUAACCAUUGUACGCUUUGGAAACUGGAGGACUUGAGUGCAGAAGGGGAGAGUGGAAUUCCAUGUGUAGCGGUGAAAUGCGUAGAUAUAUGGAGGAACACCGGUGGCGAAAGCGGCUCUCUGGUCUGUAACUGACGCUGAGGCUCGAAAGCGUGGGGAGCAAACAGG